rnacentral:rRNA from 1 species
CAGUCGCCGCGGUAAAACGUAGGUGGCAAGCGUUGUCCGGAAUUAUUGGGCGUAAAGGGCUCGCAGGCGGAUUCUUAAGUCUGAUGUGAAAGCCCCCGGCUCAACCGGGGAGGGUCAUUAGAAACUGGGAAACUUGAGUGUAGAAGAGGAGAGUGGAAUUCCACGUGUAGCGGUGAAAUGCGUAGAGAUGUGGAGGAACACCAGUGGCGAAGGCGACUCUCUGGUCUGUAACUGACGCUGAGGAGCGAAAGCGUGGGGAGCGAACAGGAUUAGAUACCCCUGUAGUCCCUGUCUCUUAUAC